rnacentral:rRNA from 1 species
CGGCACCUAUCUUCGGAUAGAAGCGAGUGGCGAACGGCUGAGUAACACGUGGAGAACCUGCCCCCUCCCCCCGGGAUAGCCGCCCGAAAGGACGGGUAAUACCGGAUACCCCGGGGUGCCGCAUGGCACCCCGGCUAAAGCCCCGACGGGAGGGGAUGGCUCCGCGGCCCAUCAGGUAGACGGCGGGGUGACGGCCCACCGUGCCGACAACGGGUAGCCGGGUUGAGAGACCGACCGGCCAGAUUGGGACUGAGACACGGCCCAG